rnacentral:SRP_RNA from 1 species
GUUCUGGUCUCGCGCAAUGGGGUCUCAUGAACCACGUCAGGUCCGGAAGGAAGCAGCGUUAAGUGAACCGCCUCAUGUGCCGCGAGGGUGCCUGAGGGCU